rnacentral:rRNA from 1 species
GAUGAACGCUGGCGGCGUGCCUAAUACAUGCAAGUAGAACGCUGAAGGAGGAGCUUGCUCUUCUGGAUGAGUUGCGAACGGGUGAGUAACGCGUAGGUAACCUGCCUGGUAGCGGGGGAUAACUAUUGGAAACGAUAGCUAAUACCGCAUGACAACAGUUAUUGCAUGAUAACUGUUUAAAAGGGGCAACUGCUCCACUACCAGAUGGACCUGCGUUGUAUUAGCUAGUUGGUGAGGUAACGGCUCACCAAGGCGACGAUACAUAGCCGACCUGAGAGGGUGAUCGGCCACACUGGGACUGAGACACGGCCCAGACUCCUACGGGAGGCAGCAGUGGGGAAUCUUCGGCAAUGGACGGAAGUCUGACCGAGCAACGCCGCGUGAGUGAAGAAGGUUUUCGGAUCGUAAAGCUCUGUUGUAAGAGAAGAACGAGUGUGAGAGUGGAAAGUUCACACUGUGACGGUAUCUUACCAGAAAGGGACGGCUAACUACGUG